rnacentral:rRNA from 1 species
GAUGAACGCUGGCGGCGUGCUUAACACAUGCAAGUCGAACGGGAAAUAUUUCAUUGAGACUUCGGUGGAUUUGAUCUAUUUCUAGUGGCGGACGGGUGAGUAACGCGUGGGUAACCUGCCUUAUACAGGGGGAUAACAGUCAGAAAUGGCUGCUAAUACCGCAUAAGCGCACAGAGCUGCAUGGCUCAGUGUGAAAAACUCCGGUGGUAUAAGAUGGACCCGCGUUGGAUUAGCUAGUUGGUGGGGUAACGGCCCACCAAGGCGACGAUCCAUAGCCGGCCUGAGAGGGUGAACGGCCACAUUGGGACUGAGACACGGCCCAGACUCCUACGGGAGGCAGCAGUGGGGAAUAUUGCACAAUGGGGGAAACCCUGAUGCAGCGACGCCGCGUGAAGGAAGAAGUAUCUCGGUAUGUAAACUUCUAUCAGCAGGGAAGAUAGUGACGGU